GGACUAAUUUACCCAUGUACUUCUCUCUUAAUUACAUACAUAUAAAUGGCAAAUCUAGGGUUAUUUCUUGCUCCCUUCUACCGUUUCCUCAUUCUCUUUUCUUUCGGCCGUUUAUUGCUUUCUUCUCUGUUCUUCCCAUCGGUGCCUUCUUCUUUCUUCUCGCGUCUUUCUUCCUCUUUUAUCAACACCAUAGUCCAUAGUUCAAGCACUAUAGCCAUUUUACCGUAGCAAGAGCCUUGGAUUCUUUGCUUGGUGCUGCCAUGAUGUUGAGUGAGAAGUUGGAAUCGGUAGGAGACAAAAUAAGUAAAAGUCUUGGAACUGAAUUGACUCUUCAACAAAAAAUUGAGCAAUUAGAGGGUAAGUUGAGUGAGAUUGAGGGGCUGGAAUAUGAUGACAAGUUUAUGGCUUUGAUCAAGCUUCCUGAAUAUCCAAAUCAAAUGCUUGUAUUUUUUAGUCUUGCAGCGGACCAAAGGCUUGAAUGGGUGAAAAGGUUCCUUGCUACAUAUUGAACAUGUUUGUGGUGAGGAGUCUUGCAACGGACCAAAGGCUGAUGCAUUGUUGUUUUUGUUGUCAAGUUAGAAAGUAUCCUAUUGUAAGUAUGAAGCUGGCUAUGUAAAAAUAUGAUGUUAGCUUAUUUUUUUGGAAACUAAAAAGGAUGAACUUGUUAACUUGAAUAUCAUGUGUAUUUUGUAAUAUUUUGAAACUUGUUUGUUAUAAUAUUAUGGUAUUCUGCAACA